GCGCCCGUGGCCCAACGGUUAUCGCGCUUGCCUUCCACGCAGAAGGCCAGGGUUCGAUUCCUUGCCGCGGCU
rfam:Ixodes scapularis strain Wikel colony gcontig_1107729125888, whole genome shotgun sequence.